rnacentral:lncRNA from 1 species
GGAGGGUAAGUCCAAAACUAACUUUUUAAAAGUAACUUAUAUAGUCUGUAAAGUUCAGUUCCUUUAAUGCGACAAAAUAGUUUAUGAGUAUACUAUCUCACUUGCUUACAAUAUGUAGUCCAUACAAACUGUACUAAAAUAAAUUCAAACAAAAUCAGGACCUAAACAAACUAUUUUUGAUCAAAUUGAACAUUAGAACUUGAAGCCUCAUAGCAUCA